UGCAGUGACUGCAAAUGUUUAGUGGGCCC
rnacentral:piRNA from 1 species